rnacentral:rRNA from 1 species
UACGGAGGGUGCGAGCGUUGUCCGGAAUCAUUGGGCGUAAAGGGCGCGUAGGUGGCCCGGUCAGUCCGUGGUGAAAGCGCGGGGCUCAACCCCGCGUCGGCCAUGGAUACUGCUGGGCUGGAGCACUGUAGAGGCAGGCGGAAUUCCGGGUGUAGCGGUGGAAUGCGUAGAGAUCCGGAAGAACACCGGUGGCGAAGGCGGCCUGCUGGGACAUGGCUGACGCUGAGGCGCGACAGCGUGGGGAGCAAACAGG